GUUACAACUUUCAACAAUGGAUCUCUUGGCUCUGGCAUCGAUGAAGAACGCAGCGAAAUGCGAUAAGUAGUGUGAAUUGCAGAAUUCAGUGAAUCAUCGAAUCUUUGAACGCACAUUGCGCCCCUUGGUAUUCCAUGGGGCAUGCCUGUUCGAGCGU
rnacentral:rRNA from 1 species